CACGUAGGGUGCAAGCGUUGUCCGGAUUUAUUGGGCGUAAAGAGCUCGUAGGCGGUUCGGUAAGUCGGGUGGGAAACCUCCAGGCUCAACCUGGAGACGCCACCCGAUACUGCUGUGACUAGAGUGCGGUAGGGGAGACUGGAAUUCCUGGUGUAGCGGUGGAAUGCGCAGAUAUCAGGAGGAACACCGAUGGCGAAGGCAGGUCUCUGGGCCGCAACUGACGCUGAGGAGCGAAAGCAUGGGGAGCGAACAGG
rnacentral:rRNA from 1 species